GACAGAGGGUGCAAACGUUGCUCGGAAUCACUGGGCGUAAAGGGCGUGUAGGCGGAUCAGCAAGUCGGGCGUGAAAUCCCCAGGCUCAACCUGGGAACUGCACUCGAAACUGCCUUUCUUGAGUACCGGAGAGGAAAGCGGAAUACCUGGUGUAGAGGUGAAAUUCGUAGAUAUCAGGUGGAACACCAGUGGCGAAGGCGGCUUUCUGGACGGUAACUGACGCUGAGACGCGAAAGCGUGGGGAGCAAACAGG
rnacentral:rRNA from 1 species